CGGGCUCAAUGGGAGUGAUCAAUGGCUGGAUGUCUAGUUGGCAACCAGUAUCAAGCGGAGUGCCCCAGGGAUUGUAGAGGUAGAAAUCCUAAAGCCAUCUUGGAUCCUCUAAAGGACAACUAGGCAUCCAUGUUUGUGAGCCUUCUUGUUUCCUCCCCACUCCAAUUUGGCACCUUUUCCAUGUUUAGGUGGGAAAGACAGUGGCUGUCAAUCAUCUAAUCUGCGUAGUAACCAAAAGUCUAUAUAAGGCGGUGUUCAGAUCAGAUCAGGGCUGCCCGUCUGCGUGGCAGAAUGCAGAACAGACAAGGGUAGGCCAUUUGGCCCACAUGGGCUACUUUAAGUAGGGGAUUAUUCACUCACACACAUUUAAUCCAUCUUUUGUAAGAUUCGCUUACUGCACGCACAACGACGCAGGUAGAGGGAGGGGGAGUUCAACAACUUACCUGAAAGAAGCUUGUCUGGCCCUCUUUUAAAUCCUUCUUCCAUCCAGGGGAUCCAGUGGUCCUGGCGUGCUGUACCAACCUAAGAGAAAAAGGACAUCAGUACUUCAAGCUGCUAGAGAUGUGUUUUGCAGUGAUCUUCCUUCAAGCAGUGAACAGGCCUCCCCCCUGGAGAUGCAUCCAUGAUGCUGCAUAAGUAGCCAGGGAGUUUGCAGCAGAGCAACACAAGUUGUAACUUCCCACAAAGUGAUGGAAAGUGCUGCCCAUUCAACUCCAGGAGUGAGAGAGUGAAUACAACUCUCUUGAGUAGCAGCAUACACUACCAGCAAUAUGCUUGUCCUUUAUCCAGCACAUCAGCAGGACUGAGAAGAAUGUUAAACACUAGCUACUAUUUUCCUACUUUCUCUUUUUGACAUUCAAGCAUAUUGGGUGGCAGUUGAUUGCUCUCUUCCAUUUCAGAAGUGGCUGCAUUUCAGGGAUGUCCUACAUUCCUGUAUCCUACUACCCUUACUUGCAGGACUAGUCUCAUUGAGAAAAUGAACACUUGAGUGCCCAGAUACUAUACCGAUAAGUAGAACUGGGCAACUUUUUUUUAUUUUUGGUGAAUAGUAAACCAAAACAUUGCAAAUUUGACAUGAAAUUGCUGACUAGUUUCAGCCAAAAUCUUUGUUUUCAGGAUUGAGAUGCCAUUAACAAAAUGGCUGGAGGAUGAGACAGUGGUAGUGCCUGCCUUGUAAAGUGUAGCUCUGCGUACUCACCUAAGAUAUGGAAUAGGAGUCAGGUUCAAUUGCCCCCUCUAUCUGAUCUGAAGAAGGGAUUUAAACUUGGAGCUCACAUACAGCAGAAAAGUUCCCUUACUCCUGGGACUAUUGAAUAGUCUGGAGUGGGUCUUUCUCAGUCUCUACCGUUGAAGUGGUUCCACUUUGUAUAACUAAUUAGUCAUUGGAGGUUGGGACAAAGAGAGUGAAAAUGACUAUGCAGCCAAGUGGUUAGGGCACUUUUCUGCAAUGUGGGGCACCCAAGUUCAAAUCACUUCUCCAUAUCAGUAUUAGGAGGGAACUGAAUGUCUCUCCCCCGCAUCCCAGGAGAGUGCCCUAACUACUAGGUUAAUGCUUCUAAGGGAGGUGGCACCAUCACCCCUACUUCCUCCUUUUAAAGAUAUCUGGAAACAAUGUUUCCUUCAACCCAAAACAGACUUUUUCAGUUCACCAAAGUUUUUCAGAGUUUCCAAAUUCGAGCAGACCCAAAUUUAUUUUGUUUUUUGGAACUGCUGGUGACCUGAUAAAUAAUUAUUCACCCAGCUCUACUGAUAAGGGCCAAUGUAAGUACCUACAUAGAAGUGACCAGAGCUCAGGUUGUAAUUUAUUAAAUGAAUUGGGAUCCUUUAUAAUGAAGGGUUCUACGUGCAUGUAAAGAAUUAUUACUCAUUUUUAUCAGUAUAUUAAAGCAGAUUAAAAAUGCUUUCUGGCUUUGAUGGAGGUUCCUGGAAUCUUUGCAAGAUCAUACAAUAUGUAAAUUCAAAGAAAGCGAAGUUGAGAGCAUCUUGUAUCAUACACUGAUUUAAGCAUCAUUUCCUUCUGUUCUUUUGCUACUGUACACUGUGGAAUAUUUGAUUUAUUAGAAAUUAAUUGUGAGGUAAACGGAACUCAGAAUUGGAUAAUACAAUUUUUAUAGCAUAUCUGACUGGAAAAUGGAAAUCUUAUCAGAGAAAGCAGCAUGAUGGGGCAAGAGCAGCUAUUUUGCGUAAAUGUGUUAUUUUACCCUGAACAUUAAGACAAAAAAAAAAUAAGGUCCAUAUUGCAGAUGUAAUUUACAAUACAAUAUUUUUCUUGUUUCCUGGUGAGGGUUUCUCUAAAAUUACCCAGUCUUGUUUUUUGUUUUUGUUUUUUACAAUAAAGUGUGAGCGAAUUUGAA